rnacentral:rRNA from 1 species
UAACACGUAGGGGAACCUGCCCAUGCGGCCGGGACCAACUUCCGGAAACGGAUGCUGAUACCGGAUAAGGAAAGCGAAGGCAUCUUUGCUUUGUUAAAGGAGCUGCAAGGCUCCGCGCAUGGAUGGACCUGCGGUGCAUUAGCUGGUUGGUGAGGUAAAGGCUCACCAAGGCGACGAUGCAUAGCCGGCCUGAGAGGGCGAACGGCCACACUGGGACUGAGACACGGCCCAGACUCCUACGGGAGGCAGCAG